rnacentral:misc_RNA from 1 species
UCUCCGUAGGUGAACCUGCGGAGGGAUCAUUACCGAGUGAGGGCGAACCGCCCGACCUCCCACCCUAUGUGAUUAUACCAUGUUGCCUCGGGGGUACGCCCGCGCCUCGCGGCGCCGGUGCCCCCGGUGGACCAACCCAUAACACUGCAUCUUUGCGUCGGAUAUCAAUGAAAAUAAAUAAAAACUUUCAACAACGGAUCUCUUGGUUCUGGCAUCGAUGAAGAACGCAGC